UGAGGAAUAUUGGUCAAUGGGCGAGAGCCUGAACCAGCCAAGUCGCGUGAAGGAAGACAGUCCUAAGGAUUGUAAACUUCUUUUAUACGGGAAUAACGGGCGAUACGAGUAUUGCAUUGAAUGUACCGUAAGAAUAAGCAUCGGCUAACUCCGUGCCAGCAGCCGCGGUAAUACGGAGGAUGCGAGCGUUAUCCGGAUUUAUUGGGUUUAAAGGGUGCGUAGGUUGUUCGGUAAGUCAGCGGUGAAACCUGAGCGCUCAACGUUCAGCCUGCCGUUGAAACUGCCGGGCUUGGGUUCAGUAGCGGCAGGCGGAAUUCGUGGUGUAGCGGUGAAAUGCAUAGAUAUCACGAGGAACUCCGAUUGCGAAGGCAGCUUGCCAUACUGCGACUGACACUGAAGCACGAAGGCGUGGGUAUCAAACAGG
rnacentral:rRNA from 1 species